GAUGAACGCUGGCGGCGUGCCUAAUACAUGCAAGUAGAACGCUGAAGGAGGAGCUUGCUCUUCUGGAUGAGUUGCGAACGGGUGAGUAACGCGUAGGUAACCUGCCUGGUAGCGGGGGAUAACUAUUGGAAACGAUAGCUAAUACCGCAUGACAACAGUUAUUGCAUGAUAACUGUUUAAAAGGGGCAACUGCUCCACUACCAGAUGGACCUGCGUUGUAUUAGCUAGUUGGUGAGGUAACGGCACACCAAGGCGACGAUACAUAGCCGACCUGAGAGGGUGGUCGGCCACACUGGGACUGGGACACGGCCCAGACUCCUACGGGAGGCAGCAGUAGGGAAUCCUCGGCAAUGGACGGAAGUCUGACCGAGCAACGCCGCGUGAGUGAAGAAGGGUUUCGGGUCGUAAAGCUCUGUUGUAAGAGAAGAACGAGUGUGAGAGUGGAAAGUUCACACUGUGACGGUAUCUUACCAGAAAGGGACGGCUAACUACGUG
rnacentral:rRNA from 1 species